UUCUGCCACUCUGUCCAUUAAAACCAGAUUUCUAUGGGCGAUUUUUAGAUGACGUUUUCAUAGUCUGGACCUACACACUAGACGAAUUUUUGACGUUUUUCAACAUUCUGAACAAUCAUCAUCCAUCUGUCAAAUUAACCGCAAAUAAACAAUAAUACCAGAAUACCAGAAGCACCACCCAAGGAAGACCAUCAGCGCCACCAACACCAAUAAACAGUGAAAUAGCCUUUGUAUAUAAAUCUAAUGUAUUGUAUGUAUUUUUAAUAAAACCAGGAAAUAUCACGAACUAAUUUUUCAUCAUCCUAGGUCAGUGCUUAUGUGGAGACUUAACCUCUCCCCCAAAUUCUUAAACCUAACCCUCGCCCGCGCCAGGCUGUUGUCAACCUGGUUCGAGAUAUUUCCUUUAUAGAGAUAGUCAAAUCACGCCUGUAUAUAUAAUUUUGUUCUUCACAAAUUCUAUUACUCUUAUUAUUUCAUAAUUUAUGCCUUAUAUUUUUAUAUUAUAAUAUUUGUUAGCCUAUGAUGCAUGUUCUUCUUGAUAUUAUAUUAUUUUUUAUGUUAUAUGUGCCAUUUAAAUAGUCUCCUUAAGCAAUGUAUAUAAAUAUUAACAACUUUAGUAAAAGUCCAUCGACUAGAAUUGCAUCAUAAAAUUUAAACUCAGUUUCUAUAUUUAUGUCCAUACUUAAUAUUUCCUCGCCUUAACUGAUUCUCCCAAGCAGACGGGCCUAUUUGUUCCAUCAAUAGCUAAAAAAACCGCUUAAUUCCCUAUUUAAAUCAUUAAUUUCCAUUAUUCAAAAUCCUUUCACUGUAAUCACUAAACUGAUCGACCGAUCACCAAUGCAAACACGGCAGAAAUUUAAAAUUAAAACAUUCAUUAUCUUUUGAUCAAAUCCAAUCAUAACAAUGAGCUGCCAUACUGAAUACUCAUCUUAAUCUGUUCAAUUUACUCAUCACUUCAAUUAAAGCCGCUACUUAAUCAUCCACUCAAUAACUCACAAACAUAUCACUCAUGUGUUUAAUUAGAAUCAGGGCUUGCCCAAAUUAAUUUUGAAUGGCUUAUCUCUUCUUGAUGGCUACAAAUAGGCUAGAAAGUUUCAAUUAAGUUAGACUAUCAUCGCUUGAUAAAGGAUACCACUCCGAAAAGUGCAACAGACUAUCAUCGCUUGAUAAAGGAUACCACUCCGAAAUGUGCAUCGCGAUAUAAUCGAGGAACUACCCAUCUAUAUUAUAUGUAAGAUUCUUUUUCUCUCUUUAUAUUUUUAUGUAUUUUUAUUUUUAUAUCUGUUAAUAGUUUUAAAUUGAACAAUUGACAUUACACAAUAUACUAUACUGUGUAAUUAAUAAACCUCAAAGUUCAAACGAUU